rnacentral:tRNA from 1 species
UGCGGAAGUGGCGGAAUUGGCAGACGCGCAAGCCUCAGGAGCUUGUCGGAGCAAUCCCGUGGGGGUUCGAGCCCCUUCCGCACC